CUGCACGAUGCACUACCCCGGGCUUCUCUGAAUGAGUAAUCAAUCGAUGACGACGAAAGCCCCAUUGCUCGUGCCAAAACGAUCCGACGUCAAGUGUUGCAGUUCAGCCAUUCUCUUUCUCCACGGCUGAGCUGUGUCAAAUCGACGCCCACAUCU